rnacentral:rRNA from 1 species
ACUCAAAUGAAUUGACGGGGACCCGCACAAGCGGUGGAUGAUGUGGUUUAAUUCGAUGCAACGCGAAAAACCUUACCUACCCUUGACAUGUCUGGAAUCCCGCAGAGAUGUGGGAGUGCUCGAAAGAGAGCCAGAACACAGGUGCUGCAUGGCUGUCGUCAGCUCGUGUCGUGAGAUGUUGGGUUAAGUCCCGCAACGAGCGCAACCCUUGUCAUUAGUUGCUACGAAAGGGCACUCUAAUGAGACUGCCGGUGACAAACCGGAGGAAGGUGGGGAUGACGUCAAGUCCUCAUGGCCCUUAUGGGUAGGGCUACACACGUCAUACAAUGGCUGGUACAGAGGGUUGCCAACCCGCGAGGGGGAGCUAAUCCCAUAAAACCAGUCGUAGUCCGGAUCGUAGUCUGCAACUCGACUGCGUGAAGUCGGAAUCGCUAGUAAUCGCGGAUCAGCAUGUCGCGGUGAAUACGUUCCCGGGUCUUGUACACACCGCCCGU